GCAGAUGUGGCCGAGUGGUUAAGGCGAUAGACUUGAUAUCUAUUCAUCUCUGAGGGCGUAGGUUCGAACCUACCAACUGCG
rnacentral:tRNA from 1 species